UGGGCGUAAAGCGAGCGUAGGUGGCUUGAUAAGUCAGAUGUGAAAUCCCCGGGCUNAACCUGGGAACUGCAUCUGAUACUGUUAAGCUAGAGUAGGUGAGAGGGAAGUAGAAUUCCAGGUGUAGCGGUGAAAUGCGUAGAGAUCUGGAGGAAUACCGAUGGCGAAGGCAGCUUCCUGGCAUCAUACUGACACUGAGGCUCGAAAGCGUGGGUAGCAAACAGGAUUAGAUACCCUGGUAGUCCACGCCGUAAACGAUGUCUACUAGUCGUUGGGUCCCUUGAGGACUUAGUGACGCAGCUAACGCAAUAAGUAGACCGCCUGGGGAGUACGGCCGCAAGGUUAAAACUCAAAUGAAUUGACGGGGGCCCGCACAAGCGGUGGAGCAUGUGGUUUAAUUCGAUGCAACGCGAAGAACCUUACCUGGUCUUGACAUACACAGAAUCUUGUAGAGAUACGAGAGUGCCUUCGGGAAUUGUGAUACAGGUGCUGCAUGGCUGUCGUCAGCUCGUGUCGUGAGAUGUUGGGUUAAGUCCCGCAACGAGCGCAACCCUUGUCCUUAGUUACCAGCGGGUUAAGCCGGGAACUCUAAGGAUACUGCCAGUGACAAACUGGAGGAAGGCGGGGACGACGUCAAGUCAUCAUGGCCCUUACGACCAGGGCUACACACGUGCUACAAUGGUAGGUACAGAGGGCAGCUACACAGCGAUGUGAUGCGAAUCUCAAAAAGCCUAUCGUAGUCCAGAUUGGAGUCUGCAACUCGACUCCAUGAAGUAGGAAUCGCUAGUAAUCGCGGAUCAGAAUGCCGCGGUGAAUACGUUCCCGGGCCUUGUACACACCGCCC
rnacentral:rRNA from 1 species